rnacentral:tRNA from 1 species
GCGCCGCUAGCUCAAUUGGCAGAGCAGCGGACUCUUAAUCCGCGGGUUCGGGGUUCAAGUCCCUGGCGGCGCNCCC